rnacentral:misc_RNA from 1 species
AGGAUCGAUCAGUUGGGAGAGGCCUUCACUGCUGGUCAGAAGUGGGCGGGCCCAGGUGACUAGGUUCUCAGGGGUCUCAUCUUGUGACAUGAACACGGGCUUCCGACCAGUGAACAGCUCGAGCAGUACAACACCGUAGCUGUAGACGUCGCUUUUGACGUCCAGAUGGCCUGUCAUUGCGUAUUCAGGAGCAACAUACCCGAACGUUCCCAUGACUCGAGUAGAAACAUG